rnacentral:rRNA from 1 species
UACGGAGGGUGCAAGCGUUAUCCGGAAUCACUGGGUUUAAAGGGUGCGUAGGCGGAGGAGUAAGUCAGUUGUGAAAUUCCCCGGCUUAACCGGAGGGACUGCAAUUGAUACUGUGUCACUUGAAUCAGGAUGAGGUAGGCGGAAUGUGGCAUGUAGCGGUGAAAUGCUUAGAUAUGCCAUAGAACACCGAUUGCGAAGGCAGCUUACUGGCCCUGUAUUGACGCUGAGGCACGAAAGUGUGGGGAGCAAACAGG